rnacentral:rRNA from 1 species
UUACGGGAGGCAGCAGUGAGGAAUUUUGGACAAUGGGCGCAAGCCUGAUCCAGCCAUGCCGCGUGCGGGAAGAAGGCCUUCGGGUUGUAAACCGCUUUUGUCAGGGAAGAAACGCCCCGGAUUAAUACUCUGGGGUAAUGACGGUACCUGAAGAAUAAGCACCGGCUAACUACGUGCCAGCAGCCGCGGUAAUACGUAGGGUGCAAGCGUUAAUCGGAAUUACUGGGCGUAAAGCGUGCGCAGGCGGCUGUGCAAGACAGAUGUGAAAUCCCCGGGCUCAACCUGGGAACUGCAUUUGUGACUGCAUAGCUAGAGUACGGUAGAGGGGGAUGGAAUUCCGCGUGUAGCAGUGAAAUGCGUAGAUAUGCGGAGGAACACCGAUGGCGAAGGCAACCCCCUGGACCUGUACUGACGCUCAUGCACGAAAGCGUGGGGAGCAAACAGGAUUAGAUACCCCUGUAGUCG